UACGGAGGGUGCGAGCGUUGUCCGGAAUUACUGGGCGUAAAGGGCGCGUAGGCGGCCUUCUAAGUCGAACGUGAAAUCCCCGGGCUCAACCCGGGAACUGCGUCCGAUACUGGGAGGCUUGAAUCCGGGAGAGGGAUGUGGAAUUCCAGGUGUAGCGGUGAAAUGCGUAGAUAUCUGGAGGAACACCGGUGGCGAAGGCGGCAUCCUGGACCGGUAUUGACGCUGAGGCGCGAAAGCCAGGGGAGCAAACGGG
rnacentral:rRNA from 1 species